AUGGUGCGCGCCAUGGGCGGCGCCAGCGAGGCGGCGGACAGCAAGCUACAGAGCCCGCUGCUGACACCCCUGCAGCCGACGGCCGGCGGGCAUGGAGCGGGCAAGCAGCUUGAGAGCAUCCUGAACGACGAGUCGGUGCCGUGGGUGCAUCGGAUCUGCGCGGCGACGAUGGUGGAGAUGCGGAUGCUGGUUCCCCUGGCGGCGCCCGCCGUGCUGGUGUACAUGAUCAACUACCUCAUGUCCAUGUCGACGCGGAUCUUCUCCGACCAUCUCGGCACGCGAGCUCGCCGCCGUUUCCCUCGGCAACACCGGCAUCCAGUUCUUCGCCUACGGCCUCAUGGAAGCUACCUGCACGAUCACAAAGUACUGUUUUGUUUCCCCAACAAAAAUGUUCUUCCCGUUCUUGGCAUGGGGAGCGCGGUGGAGAUGCUGUGCGGGCAGGCGUACGGCGCAAACAAGUUGGACAUGCUGGGCAUCUACAUGCAACGCUCCACCGUGCUGCUCAUGGCCACCGGCGUCCCUAUCACCGUCCUCUACGUGUUCUCCCGCCCCAUCCUCAUCCUCCUCGGCGAGUCCCCUGAGAUCGCACGCGCCGCGGCCAUCUACGUGCACGGCCUCAUCCCGCAGAUCUUCGCCUACGCCGCCAACUUCCCGAUCCAGAAAUUCUUGCAGGCGCAGAGCAUUAUAGCGCCGAGCGCCUACAUCUCGGCAGCCACGCUCGUCGUCCACCUCGUCCUCAGCUACCUCGUCGUCUACCAGUUUGGGCUGGGGCUUCUGGGCGCCUCGUUCAUGCUCAGCACCAGCUGGUGGAUCAUCGCAUUCUCCGAUCUGCCUGAAUUUUUGAAGCUGUCCCUUGCCUCUGCUGUCAUGCUCUACCUGGAGACUUGGUACUUCCAGAUACUGGUGCUCAUUGCUGGCCUCCUCAAGGACCCCGAAAUGGUUCUCGCAUCGCUCGCUGUUUGCAUGACCAUUUCUGAAUGGGUGCUCAUGAUUCCACUUGGAUUCUACGCAGCAACCAGUGUGAGGGUGAGCAAUGAGCUUGGUGCGGGCAACCCCAAGUCAGCGGCAUUCUCAGUUGUGGUGGUGACAAUGUUGUCGUUCGUCCUAUCAGUUAUAAUCUCGGUAGUCAUCCUGCUCUGUAGUGAUUACAUCAGCUACAUUUACACCGACGGCGAAAAUGUGGCAGUAGCCGUGUCCAAGAUGACCCCACUCCUGGCACUCACCAUAAUCCUCAAUGGCAUCCAACCAGUACUAUCAGGGGUAGCCGUGGGCUGUGGUUGGCAAGCGUUUGUCGCCUAUGUCAACAUCGGCUACUACUAUGCCGUGGGCAUCCCCCUUGGCUUCCUCCUUGGCUUCUACUUCGACCUCGGUGCAGUGGGCAUAUGGAGUGGUAUGAUUGGAGGUACAUUGAUGCCGACUGUGAUCCUAGUGUGGGUUACCUUGAGGACAGACUGGAACAAAGAGGUAGCUGAUGCUAUGAAAAGAUUGCAGAGGUGGGAAGGCAAUACACCUCUAUUGGCAGGACAAGAAUGA
rnacentral:rRNA from 1 species